GAUGAACGCUAGCUACAGGCUUAACACAUGCAAGUCGAGGGGAAACGACAUCGAAAGCUUGCUUUUGAUGGGCGUCGACCGGCGCACGGGUGAGUAACGCGUAUCCAACCUGCCCAUCACUUGGGAAUAACCUUGCGAAAGUAAGACUAAUACCCAAUGACAUCCCACGAAGACAUCUGAAUGGGAUUAAAGAUUUAUCGGUGAUGGAUGGGGAUGCGUCUGAUUAGCUUGUUGGCGGGGUAACGGCCCACCAAGGCAACGAUCAGUAGGGGUUCUGAGGGGAAGGUCCCCCACAUUGGAACUGGGACACGGUCCAAACUCCUACGGGGGGCAGCAGUGAGGAAUAUUGGUCAAUGGGCGAGAGCCUGAACCAGCCAAGUAGCGUGCAGGAUGACGGCCCUAUGGGUUGUAAACUGCUUUUAUAAGGGAAUAAAGUGGGUCUCGUGAGACUUUUUGCAUGUACCUUAUGAAUAAGGACCGGCUAAUUCCGUG
rnacentral:rRNA from 1 species